GACGAACGCUGGCGGCGUGCUUAACACAUGCAAGUCGAACGAAGUGGCGAACGGGUGAGUAACGCGUAAUCAACCUGCCCUUCAGAGGGGGACAACAGUUGGAAACGACUGCUAAUACCGCAUACUGAAGGAGGGGAUUGCGGCUGAUUAGCUAGUUGGGGGGGUGACGGCCCACCAAGGCGAUGAUCAGUAGCCGGUCUGAGAGGAGGGACAGCCACAUUGGGACUGAGACACGGCCCCGACUCCUACGGGAGGCAGCAAUGGGGAAUCUUCCGCAAUGGACGAAAGUCUGACGGAGCAACGCCGCGUGAGUGAUGACGGCCUUCGGGUUGUAAAGCUCUGUUAAUCGGGACGCGGUACCGGAAUAGAAAGCCACGGCUAACUACGUGCCAGCAGCCGCGGUAAUAC
rnacentral:rRNA from 1 species